rnacentral:rRNA from 1 species
AGGGAAUAUUGGGCAAUGGAGGCAACUCUGACCCAGCCACGCCGCGUGGAGGAUGAAGGUGCUAUGCAUCGUAAACUUCUUUUGUCAAGGGAGAAAGUGCUUGAUUAAUCAGGUUUUGACGGUACUUGGCGAAUAAGCAUCGGCUAACUACGUGCCAGCAGCCGCGGUAAUACGUAGGAUGCAAGCGUUAUCCGGAAUCACUGGGUUUAAAGGGUCUGUAGGCGGUAUCAUAAGUCAGUGGUGAAAUAUCUGGGCUUAACUUGGAGGGUGCCAUUGAUACUGUAGUACUUGAGAUAGAAUGACGUGGGCGGAAUGUGUCAUGUAGCGGUGAAAUGCUUAGAGAUGACACAGAACACCGAUUGCGAAGGCAGCUCACGAAGCCUUAUCUGACGCUGAGGGACGAAAGCGUGGGGAGCAAAC